ACCAGUUGUAUUCUCAGGGCUGGAGAGGUUACUGCUUGAUGAUGCCUGGCCUGCGUACCAAGCUCCCUGACUCUCACUGCAGCUUUAACAGCAAUGGCCAGAAGAGGGAGCUCCGGGAAAGCCAAAGGACCUGUCUAAUAUUCACAUCCCCCAAGGAAGUAGGUUAUUUCCAGAAGCCUGCAUCAAGGAUAUGCAGUUCUAAGGGACCUGGAUUCAUUAGCAGAAUGCCAAGAACAAGAUCCUGGGCUAGGCAAACUGUUAUCUGUGGAGUAUGUACUAACUUUCAAAAUCAUUUGUAAAGUAUGAAUGACCACAACAUAAAGAAACUACAAAAAGAGGAUUGUUUCAACUUCUACCACUGAGGAUGAAGUUUAUAAAGCAGCAAGUAUCAGACCAGGUAUGACAGUGUGGGAUCUUUACCCUGCUUUUUGUAGUGGUAAAGCUGUACAGUCAAGAGGUUAAAUAAAGAAACAAACACACUGACAGAUGAAU